UAAGUACUGACAUGCCGUGACUCCAUGGGCAGUGGUGAUGUUGAUAGAGGCAGACUUCUGCUGAGUGGGCAGCCAGAGUUCAGAGCCUGGCCAAGCUGCUUCCCUGGGAUGACAAAGGUUCCAAAUAAAUUUGCCUUUUGGAGGAAAACUGGCGAUCUCUGGAGAUGCCUGUACACACAGAAAUACUCAGGCUUCUGAUCAAGCCUCCUGCCUUUCAAGAGCCAGUCUGCAGGUUUAGACUCUGCUUAGGGAAAUCAAGCCGCUUACCCCUGGAUCACUAUUUAUGUGGGUUGCCUCGGUUCAGUGAGCCUGGGAGCAGCUGUGGCAGAUGUUGCCCAAGUCUGCAGCAUGGUGGCAAUUAGGAUGUGCCACAGAUCACAGGACCGGUGAAUCAGCAGGAAGUCAACAGCAGUCUGCAUUAAUUUGGCCUCCUUUGAAAUAAAACACUUCACUUACAGAAAUGCUAUCAAACCUAAAGGAGCUAUUUGAAUAGCCUCUUAGGCUAUAAAGCAGCAAAAUUUUGCUCCCACAAAGCAUCUUGGGUUUCUU